rnacentral:lncRNA from 10 species
AGUGGCAACUUGGUCGGGUCUGCUUCCGCGCUGUGGAGGUUUUGUUUUUUACUCUUUGCAGUAAAUCUUGCUGCUGCUCACUCUUUGGGUCCGCACUGCUUUUGUGAGCUGUAACACUCACGGAGAAGGUCUGCAGGUUCAUUUCUGAGCCAGCGAGACCACCAGCCCGCCAGGAGGAAGACGCUGCCGAACAUCAGAAGGAACAAACUCCAAACACGCCGCCUUUAAGAACUGUAACACCUGGAGGGUCCGCGGCUUCAUGAAGUCGCAGAGACCAAGAACCCACCAAUUCCGGACACAAAUGCAUCAUUGCACUCCAGCCUGGGUGACAGAGUGAAACCCUGUCUCAAAAAUAAGUAAGUAAAUAAAAAUAAAAAUAAAAUAGUGACCCCCACCCCUG